GAAAUGCGAUAAGUAAUGUGAAUUGCAGAAUUCAGUGAAUCAUCGAAUCUUUGAACGCACCUUGCGCUCCUUGGUAUUCCUUGGAGCAUGCCUGUUUGAGUAUCAUGAAAUCUUCAAAGUAAAUCUUUUGUUAACUCAAUUGGUUUCUACUUUGGUAUUGGAGGUCUUUGCAGCUUCCCACCUGCUCCUCUUUGUUCAUUAGCUGGAUCUCAGUGUUAUGCUUGGUUCCACUCGGCGUGAUAAGUUAUCUAUCGCUGAGGACACUGUAAAAGGUGGCCAAGGUAAAUGCAGAUGAACCGCUUCUAAUAGUCCAUUGUCUUGGACAAUACUUUUAUGAUCUGAUCUCAAAUCAGGUAGGACUACCCGCUGAACUUAAGC
rnacentral:misc_RNA from 1 species